AUAUGGUCGACCUGCAGGCGGCCGCGAAUUCACUAGUGAUUAGAGUUUGAUCAUGGCUCAGAUUGAACGCUGGCGGCAGGCCUAACACAUGCAAGUCGAGCGGUAGAGAGAAGCUUGCUUCUCUUGAGAGCGGCGGACGGGUGAGUAAUGCCUAGGAAUCUGCCUGGUAGUGGGGGAUAACGUUCGGAAACGGACGCUAAUACCGCAUACGUCCUACGGGAGAAAGCAGGGGACCUUCGGGCCUUGCGCUAUCAGAUGAGCCUAGGCCGGAUUAGCUAGUUGGUGGGGUAAUGGCUCACCAAGGCGACGAUCCGUAACUGGUCUGAGAGGAUGAUCAGUCACACUGGAACUGAGACACGGUCCAGACUCCUACGGGAGGCAGCAGUGGGGAAUAUUGGACAAUGGGCGAAAGCCUGAUCCAGCCAUG
rnacentral:rRNA from 1 species